rnacentral:rRNA from 1 species
GACGAACGCUGGCGGCGUGCUUAACACAUGCAAGUCGAACGCAGUGGCGAACGGGUGAGUAACGCGUAAUCAACCUGCCCUUCAGAGGGGGACAACAGUUGGAAACGACUGCUAAUACCGCAUACUGAAGGAGGGGAUUGCGUCUGAUUAGCUAGUUGGAGGGGUAACGGCCCACCAAGGCGAUGAUCAGUAGCCGGUCUGAGAGGGUGAACGGCGACAUUGGGAAUGGGGCACGGCCCAGAAUCCUACGGGGAGCAGCAGUGGGUAAUCUUCCGCAAUUGACGAAAGUCUGACGGGGCAACGCCGCGUGAGGGGUGACGGCCUUCGGGUUGUAAAGCUCUGUUAAUCGGGGCGCGGUACCGGAAUAGAAAGCCACGGCUAACUACGUGCCAGCAGCCGCGGUAAUUC